rnacentral:rRNA from 1 species
AAAAGCUCGUAGUUGGAUCUCAGCUCCGGCCGGACGGUCCGCCUACCGGUGGUUACUGUCCGUCGCCGAGCGUUCAGGCGGUUAUUCUUGAUGAUCUUCACCGGUUGUCUCGGGUGACCGCCAAGUUUACUUUGAAAAAAUUAGAGUGCUCAAAGCAGGCGCGACGCCUGAAUAAUUGUGCAUGGAAUAAUGGAAUAGGACCUCGGUUCUAUUUUGUUGGUUUUCGGAACACGAGGUAAUGAUUAAGAGGGACAGACGGGGGCAUUCGUAUUGCGACGCUAGAGGUGAAAUUCUUGGACCGUCGCAAGACGAACUACUGCGAAAGCAUUUGCCAAGAAUGUUUCCAUUAAUCAAGAACGAAAGUUAGAGGUUCGAAGGCGAUCAGAUACCGCCCUAGUUCUAACCAUAAACGAUGCCAGCCAGCGAUCCGGCUGUGUUCCUCAAAUGACACGCCGGGCAGCUUCCGGGAAACCAAAGCGUUUGGGUUCCGGGGGAAGUAUGGUUGCAAAACUCAAACUUAAAGGAAUUGACGGAAGGGCACCACCAGGCAUGGAGCCUGCGGCUUAAUUUGACUCAACACGGGAAAACUUACCCGGCCCGGACACAGGAAGGAUUGACAGAUUAAGAGCUCUUUCUUGAUUCUGUGGGUGGUGGUGCAUGGCCGUUCUUAGUUGGUGGGGCGACUUGUCUGGUUAAUUCCGAUAACGAACGAGACUCUAGCCUACUAAAUAGACGUUCCCAUCCUCUUUAGUGGGACGUUCUUCUUAGAGGGACAAGCGGCGUUUAGCCGCACGAGACAGAGCAAUAACAGGUCUGAGAUGCCCUUAGAUGUCCGGGGCCGCACGCGCGCUACAUUGAAGGAAUCAGCGUGUGCUCUCCCUGUCCGAAAGGACUGGGUAACCCGUUGAACCUCCUUCGUGCUGGGGAUUGGACUAUGUAAUUACGUCCAUGAACGAGGAAUUCCCAGUAAGCACGAGUCAUCAGCUCGUGUUGAUUACGUCCCUGCCCUUUGUACACACCGCCCGUCGCUACUACCGAUUGAAUGAUUUAGUGAGGUCUUCGGACUGGCGCUCGGAUUGGCCCUUCGUGGUCGAGCCGGUGUGCCGGAAAGAUGACCAAACUUGAUCAUUUAGAGGAAGUAAAAGUCGUAACAAGGUUUUC